CGCAGCCGCGGUAAUUCCAGCUCCAAUAGCGUAUAUUAAAGUUGUUGCAGUUAAAAAGCUCGUAGUUGAAUUUCGGGAUCAAUUUGCUGGUCGUGCCUCUGGUACGUACUGGUAUUAUUGGUUUCUCCCUUCUGACGAACCAUGAUGUCAUUAAUUUGAUGUCGUGGAGAAUCAGGACUGUUACUUUGAAAAAUUAGAGUGUUUAAAGCAGGCAUUAGCUUGAAUACAUUAGCAUGGAAUAAUGAAAUAGGACGUUUGAUCCUAUUUUGUUGGUUUCUAGGAUUGACGUAAUGAUUAAUAGGGAUAGUUGGGGGCAUUAGUAUUCAAUUGUCAGAGGUGAAAUUCUUGGAUUUAUUGAAGACUAACUACUGCGAAAGCAUUUGCCAAGGAUGUUUUCAUUAAUCAAGAACGAAAGUUAGGGGAUCGAAGACGAUCAGAUACCGUCGUAGUCUUAACCAUAAACUAUGCCGACUAGGGAUCGGAUGAUGUUAAUUCUUUUAAUGACUCAUUC
rnacentral:misc_RNA from 1 species